rnacentral:lncRNA from 1 species
CAAUUUAAAUAAUGCAAUUUUCUUAGCAAGCCUAAUGAAGAAGCCAAUUGACAGAAUUAUAAACAUUAUAAAAACUUCCAUUCCUGUGGACUAAUAUGCUAUGAUUUAUUACUUGGAGUACCUAGAUUCAGUUCUGGGUUCUUUAGCUACCUAUGCACUUAGAGAUAGCUGGGCCAAACCCAUCAAUAUCCAUCCUUCAAGAUGGCCAGAAGAUAAAGCAGUCACUUACCAUCUUGGAAGAUCUAGAUUCAAUUUUACAUCUCAUAUCUUCAGAUUUUUCAAGAAGGGUCUAGCCUCGAUCUGUUGAAAUCAUCUUUCAAUCAUCUAAUUGAUCUAUCAGGAUAGGAAUAUAAUGACAGUGUGAUUUACUUGUCUUUAAUUAGAAAGUAGCAUAAAAACUGGAAAGAAAGACAGAAAAUAUUUCCAAAAGACAAUAUCUGCC